AACCUAGCACACCUGCGGUGUGUACCUGCGGAAGGAUCAUUACAACAAGGUUCCCUGGCCCUCGAAGCUUCGGCGGAGGGGCGCUACAGCCUGACUUUAUACCCACCCUUUGCCUAUGUGUACCCCUAUUGCUUCCCUCGGCGGGUUCGCCCGCCGACAGGAACCAACUAAACCCUUUGCAUUAUACAUUUAACACUUCCGAUACAAAACUAAAUUAUUACAACUUUCAGCAACGGAUCU
rnacentral:misc_RNA from 1 species